UCGAGAAUAUUCGAUAAUGGGCGAAAGCCUGAUCGAGCGACGCCGCGUGCAGGAUGAAGGCCCUCGGGUUGUAAACUGCGGUAGUAGGGGAGGAACGCAAGUGACUGUACCCUACGGAAAGUGGUUGGUAACUACGUGCCAGCACCAGCGGUAAUACGUAGACCACAAGCGUUAUCCGGAUUUAUUGGGCGUAAAGAGCAUGUAGGAGGUCCGGUGCGUCUCUGGUUAAAGCCCACCGCCUAACGGUGGAAGUGCCAGAGAUACGAUCGGACUGGAGGAUGUGAGAGGUGCAUGGAACUCACGGUGUAGGGGUGAAAUCCGUUGAUAUCGUGGGGAACACCAAAGGCGAAGGCAGUGCACUGGUACAUUCCUGACUCUGAGAUGCGAAAGCGUGGGGAGCAAAAAGGAUUAGAUACCCAUGUAGUCCCUGAGCGGGCUGGCAAGGCGCAU
rnacentral:rRNA from 1 species